rnacentral:rRNA from 1 species
GAAUCUGCCUGGUAGUGGGGGAUAACGUCCGGAAACGGACGCUAAUACCGCAUACGUCCUACGGGAGAAAGCAGGGGACCUUCGGGCCUUGCGCUAUCAGAUGAGCCUAGGUCGGAUUAGCUAGUUGGUGGGGUAAUGGCUCACCAAGGCGACGAUCCGUAACUGGUCUGAGAGGAUGAUCAGUCACACUGGAACUGAGACACGGUCCAGACUCCUACGGGAGGCAGCAGUGGGGAAUAUUGGACAAUGGGCGAAAGCCUGAUCCAGCCAUGCCGCGUGUGUGAAGAAGGUCUUCGGAUUGUAAAGCACUUUAAGUUGGGAGGAAGGGCAGUAAAUUAAUACUUUGCUGUUUUGACGUUACCGACAGAAUAAGCACCGGCUAACUCUGUGCCAGCAGCCGCGGUAAUACAGAGGGUGCAAGCGUUAAUCGGAAUUACUGGGCGUAAAGCGCGCGUAGGUGGUUCGUUAAGUUGGAUGUGAAAUCCCCGGGCUCAACCUGGGAACUGCAUUCAAAACUGACGAGCUAGAGUAUGG